rnacentral:rRNA from 1 species
GUUAAGCGACUAAGCGUACACGGUGGAUGCCCUGGCAGUCAGAGGCGAUGAAGGACGUGCUAAUCUGCGAUAAGCGUCGGUAAGGUGAUAUGAACCGUUAUAACCGGCGAUUUCCGAAUGGGGAAACCCAGUGUGUUUCGACACACUAUCAUUAACUGAAUCCAUAGGUUAAUGAGGCGAACCGGGGGAACUGAAACAUCUAAGUACCCCGAGGAAAAGAAAUCAACCGAGAUUCCCCCAGUAGCGGCGAGCGAACGGGGAGCAGCCCAGAGCCUGAAUCAGUGUGUGUGUUAGUGGAAGCGUCUGGAAAGGCGCGCGAUACAGGGUGACAGCCCCGUACACAAAAAUGCACAUGCUGUGAGCUCGAUGAGUAGGGCGGGACACGUGGUAUCCUGUCUGAAUAUGGGGGGACCAUCCUCCAAGGCUAAAUACUCCUGACUGACCGAUAGUGAACCAGUACCGUGAGGGAAAGGCGAAAAGAACCCCGGCGAGGGGAGUGAAAAAGAACCUGAAACCGUGUACGUACAAGCAGUGGGAGCACAGAGCAAUCUGUGUGACUGCGUACCUUUUGUAUAAUGGGUCAGCGACUUAUAUUCUGUAGCAAGGUUAACCGAAUAGGGGAGCCGAAGGGAAACCGAGUCUUAACUGGGCGUUAAGUUGCAGGGUAUAGACCCGAAACCCGGUGAUCUAGCCAUGGGCAGGUUGAAGGUUGGGUAACACUAACUGGAGGACCGAACCGACUAAUGUUGAAAAAUUAGCGGAUGACUUGUGGCUGGGGGUGAAAGGCCAAUCAAACCGGGAGAUAGCUGGUUCUCCCCGAAAGCUAUUUAGGUAGCGCCUCGUGAAUUCAUCUCCGGGGGUAGAGCACUGUUUCGGCAAGGGGGUCAUCCCGACUUACCAACCCGAUGCAAACUGCGAAUACCGGAGAAUGUUAUCACGGGAGACACACGGCGGGUGCUAACGUCCGUCGUGAAGAGGGAAACAACCCAGACCGCCAGCUAAGGUCCCAAAGUCAUGGUUAAGUGGGAAACGAUGUGGGAAGGCCCAGACAGCCAGGAUGUUGGCUUAGAAGCAGCCAUCAUUUAAAGAAAGCGUAAUAGCUCACUGGUCGAGUCGGCCUGCGCGGAAGAUGUAACGGGGCUAAACCAUGCACCGAAGCUGCGGCAGCGACGCUUAUGCGUUGUUGGGUAGGGGAGCGUUCUGUAAGCCUGCGAAGGUGUGCUGUGAGGCAUGCUGGAGGUAUCAGAAGUGCGAAUGCUGACAUAAGUAACGAUAAAGCGGGUGAAAAGCCCGCUCGCCGGAAGACCAAGGGUUCCUGUCCAACGUUAAUCGGGGCAGGGUGAGUCGACCCCUAAGGCGAGGCCGAAAGGCGUAGUCGAUGGGAAACAGGUUAAUAUUCCUGUACUUGGUGUUACUGCGAAGGGGGGACGGAGAAGGCUAUGUUGGCCGGGCGACGGUUGUCCCGGUUUAAGCGUGUAGGCUGGU